rnacentral:lncRNA from 1 species
GAUUCAUUAUUCUAUAAAAUCCCACCACCUUACAAACACAAAAUGUUACAAGUUGCCCAGUCACCCCGGCUUCUGAGAUGAAGAAUAUUAUUGAAGUCAAAUCUGGUGGCUAUCACACUCCAUGGAACUUGGGGCAACAUUUAGGUACCUCUACCCAGGAAAGAAUCUCUGAGAAAUAGGUGGCAGUUUCUCUAGCAGCAUAAGAAGAACCUUGAUAAGCAUCAUCCUUAAGUCCUGACAGCAGUGGAUGACUAGUCAGGAACCUGUCCAGGAGGACAUUGACAUGGAUCUGCCAGCUUUCUAAGACUUUCCCCAGAUUCAAGUCCAGUCACAUCAAGUUGCCUUAUUAAAGGGUCUGCCCACUCAAAAGGAGAAAGUGCAAAAGAUGCUCAGCAAGAUUUGCACCCCUAUUGCUGGCACUGGGUGGACCUCCCCAAACGCUCUGCCCUUGGUGCUCUUCUGCCGGUUAUUCUCGUCCAUGACCCCAGAGCCAGGGAGAAUCUCACCAGUGCAGCCCAGGGCACUUCUGAUAACAUCUGAGCAGAGUGAAGGAGAAGAAACGCACGAGGCAGGCAUCUCAUUUAUGGAAGUGCUCCUCUGGGUCAAGCCCUCUGCCAAUAAUUUUCAUGCAUAAUGGCCCUUUCAUUCUCCCCAAAAAUUCUUCAAGGGAGGGUGAUAAUCCCAGGAUAUGGAAACAAGGAAAAGCAGACUACAAGAAGUUAAGUGACCUCCCCAAUGACCCGCUGCUCAUAAAUGGUAGUAUCAGAAUUAAAACCCAGAUGAGGCUGCCCAGGACUGAGGUUUGUGUUACCCCCCGAAGGUGCGCACCAUGGAGAAUGGCCUGGAGUUUCCUGGCUGCAUGUAAGUGCAGGAAGACAUGCUAAGGGUACCACCGCUCUCAGUAGAGCAAGCACACUUCUCUCGGGCUCUUUCCUGAAUUCAAGUAAUCACACCUCGCACACCAACCCACUGCCAAGAAAGAGCUUUUAUUUGACUCAGGAGGUAGAGAAAGUUUCACUGAAGGAUUUCUAAAUUUGUUCUCUUUCUUUCUUCCUUCCUUUUCUUUCUUCCUUCUUUCCUUCCUUUCUCUUUUCUUUCUUUUGUUCAUUCUCUUUCAUUUUUCUUUCUUUUUUUCUUUCUCUUUCUUUCCCUUGUCCAUUCAUUCGCCUUUCCUUUCUUUAUUUUUCUUGGCUUUUUUCUUUCAUUUCUUUAUAUUCCCCUCUUUCGCUUUCUCUGAAUUUUUAUGUCUCUUUUUUGUUCUUUUUUAUUCCCUUUUUAACCCACUUCCUUAACAACAUCUGUAUCUCGGGUGAAAUUGCUGGAACUGUCACAUUAAGUUCCAGAGAAUUUCUCAUUUGGGACCUUGCAUAUCACACAUGGCUCCAAGGGGCUGAUGGAUUCCUUUUAUGUCCUCUUUACUACUAAAGUUUA